UACAGAGGUCUCAAGCGUUGUUCGGAUUCAUUGGGCGUAAAGGGUGCGUAGGCGGCGCGGUAAGUCGGGUGUGAAAUCUCGGAGCUUAACUCCGAAACUGCAUUCGAUACUGCCGUGCUUGAGGACUGGAGAGGAGAUUGGAAUUUACGGUGUAGCAGUGAAAUGCGUAGAUAUCGUAAGGAAGACCAGUGGCGAAGGCGAAUCUCUGGGCAGUUACUGACACUGAGGCACGAAGGCCAGGGGAGCAAACGGG
rnacentral:rRNA from 1 species